rnacentral:sRNA from 1 species
UAUUCUGCCCCAUGGGGAAGGAUGAGAAGCUUCGACUAAGGUUCGACUCGAGCGCCAGCGAGAGAACGUUGCCGCAGGCAACGGCCCGAAGGGCGAGGCGCUUUAGCGCCGAGUAAUCCUUCCCCCACCAC